GACGAACGCUGGCGGCGUGCCUAACACAUGCAAGUCGAACGCGUCUGUGCUUCGGCACAGAUGAGUGGCGAACGGGUGAGUAACGCGUGAGUAACUCCCCUUGGGGAGGGGGAUAACCAUCUGAAAAGGUGGCUAAUACCCCAUAUUCUCUUUUCUCAUAAGAGGAAGGAGGAAAGGUGGCGCAAGCUGCCACCCCGAGAGAGGCUCGCGUCCCAUCAGCUAGUUGGUAGGGUAAUGGCCUACCAAGGCUAUGACGGGUAGCUGGUCUGAGAGGAUGGUCAGCCACACUGGGACUGAGACACGGCCCAGACUCCUACGGGAGGCAGCAGUGAGGAAUCUUGGGCAAUGGGCGAAAGCCUGACCCAGCGACGCCGCGUGGAGGAAGAAGGCCUUCGGGUCGUAAACUCCUGUUUGGGGAGAAGAACAAGAGAGAAGUUAAUAGCUUCUCUCUCUGACGGUAUCCCCGGAGAAAGCUCCGGCUAAUUACGUG
rnacentral:rRNA from 2 species